AUGAAGAAAAUCCUUCAUAAUGGCACUUUAAGUGUGAAGUUAAAUAACACUUCAGGGCCUUACUUCCAGAGCCACAAGGGAGUGAGGCAAGGGGACCUGGUGUCCCCUUUCUUGUUCAACAUCGCUGCUGAAUGCUUAUGUAAGAUGAUGUUGCAGGCCCAGAAAAAUGGCUUGAUUGAUGGGCUGGCCUCGGAUUUGGUGGAUAAGGGAGUGGCCAUUCUGCAAUACGCAGAUGACACCGUACUUUGCAUUGAACAUAACCCUGAAAAAACACUCAAUCUGAAACUGUUGCUUUAUAUGUUCGAACUCAUGUCUGGAUUGAAGAUUAAUUUCCAGAAAAGCGAAAUUUUAAGUGUUGGAGGAGAUGUUAAUAUUCUGAAAAAAUAUGCUGAUAUUUUUGGAUGUCAAAUUGGGCAUUUCCCGAUGAAAUGUCUCGGGGUCCCUGUCAGUUAUUCGUCCCUGACAGGUGUGGACUGGGACUAUCUUGAGGCUAAAUUUGUCAAAAGAUGCGAGUCUGGGCUUGAAAGUAUUGCC
rnacentral:rRNA from 1 species